rnacentral:rRNA from 1 species
UACGAAGGGUGCAAGCGUUACUCGGAAUUACUGGGCGUAAAGGGCGCGUAGGCGGAUGGCACAGUCAGAUGUGAAAAUUCCCGGGCUUAACCUGGGGGCUGCAUUUGAUACGUGUGAUCUAGAGUGAGGAAGAGGGUCGUGGAAUUCCCAGUGUAGAGGUGAAAUUCGUAGAUAUUGGGAAGAACACCGGUGGCGAAGGCGGCGACCUGGUCCUUGACUGACGCUGAGGCGCGAAAGCGUGGGGAGCAAACAGG